CAGAAAUAAUUGCUAUUGAUCGAUAUGUUUUCUAUUCCAUCACUACCAAUAGUGAGUGUAAAGUGAUGUCUUAUUCUGUAGUUAAUUUGUAUUUUCAUGAUUAUGAAUGAGGUUAGACUUGCUUUCAUAUGUUCACCCCAUACUCAGGUUUAUCCCUCUCUAUGUCUUCAGCUUCUGAUAGUAGCCUUUGCCUAUUUUUCUGUUGAGUUGUAUUUUCAUCCCUGAGCUGUAAUUCCUAACACAUCCUAGAUACCAAUCCUUUGUUGCUUAAAUGUGUUGUAAAUAUCUUCCCAUAGGUUUUGAAUUUAUGGUAUUUUUUUGAUGAACAGAGUUCUUUUAAUGAAGUAAAUGUUUUCAAGUUUAUCUUUAAUAUUUAUUUCUAUUUUGGUCACUUUUUUAGAAUUUAUUUUUUUAUUGAAGGAUAAUUGCUUUACAGAAUUUGUUGUUUUCUGUCAAACCUCAGUAUGGGUCAGCCAUAGGUAUACAUAUAUCCACUCCCUUUUCAACCUCUAUCCCAUAUCCCUCUCCAUCCCACCCCUCUAGGUUGAUACAGAGCCCCUGUUUGAAUUUCCUGAGCCAUACAGCAAAUUCCUGUUGGCUAUCAUUUUACAUAUGGUAAGACAUGAGGUCGCCCGCCGGAGCUGCCCAGGAGCCGCGGCUCGGAACAUAGUGCCUGCACCUAUUCGCCUCAAGGCAGCCGAGAGCAGACCCAACUGCAAAUGCUCCGCGAGUCACCGUAACGCUCGCGAGACGCGGGAACGAGAGCAGGCGCCCCAGGCGAGCCGAGACAGCCGUUUUAACUCUGUAAUUUUUAUCUUCUCAGGUGGUCAAUCUGUGUUUUCCUGCAAGGAAGCUUAUAAUGUCUUGGUUUGAUUGGCAGGUCUCUUUUCUUCAAAAUUACCUGGGCUAUUUUUGUCCCUUUAUAAUUUUAUAUAAAUGUACCAUUUCAUGAAAAAAUUAUUGUCAUUUUAACUGGUAUUUUCUUGAUCUAUGGUUUAAUUUAGGCAUAUUGAAUGUUAAGAUCAGUGAAGAUGUUAUAUCACAAUUUUUAUUGGUUUUCUUUAAAGUCUUUAAGAAAACAUUUUAUGAUUUUCUCCUCACAUUUUCUGGUAAUUAAAAACAAUUAGUAACCUGGGU
rnacentral:lncRNA from 1 species